UUUACAGUGUAAAAAAAACAGUUAGUUUUCUCCCUUUAAAGAGCAAUUCGAAGCUGCUUCAUAACUUAUUUACUGGGAUUAAUCACUAAAGACCAGAUCUAGGCUGGAUUAAUAAAAAUAAGUUAAAACUGCCACAUGAAUAUUUGCAUUUCUCAUUCGGUUCCAUCAGUGUCCACUUUGAAUCCAGUAAUUCUUACAUGUGCAUCCUUUGUAAAC